GGGUAACGAUCCAUGGACACUUAAGACAGAUGAGGGGGAUGGCAACAGGAAAUCCUUCUGUUUUAGGAAGAUUACCCCAUCGGGCGUCCCCAGAAUGGCCUGGGCUCUGCUUCUUUCCACCAUCUUGGUCUCUGUUGGUCUCAGUGUCCAGCAAUUACAGCCCUUAAAGGACCGGGAAUCUGUAGCGGCCGGUGGGACGGUCACUCUGUCUUGCAGAUAUAGUGGUGGAACUAUCGGGGAUGGCAAUUACCCUUGGUGGGUCCAGAUGAAACCUGGUAGCAGACCCUGGACAGUGAUGUAUACCACCAGCACACGGCCGUCUGGCAUCCCAGCCCGUUUCUCUGGGUCCAGAUCAGGGAACGUGAUGUCUCUGACCAUCACGGGGGCCCAGGGGGAAGACGAAGCCGUUUACUACUGUGUUGUGUGGACUGGAAGCCAGCACACGGUAGCUCAUUCAGAUGGGGAAGUGCAACAGAAACCCUUUUCUCUUUCCCUUUGCUCUUGUUCUGCCUGGUGAGAAGUUGCACCGUUU